UUCGCAAUGCCCGAAAGGGUGACGAAGCGACGCCGCGUGAGUGAGGAAGGCCUUCGGGUUGUAAAGCUCUGUCAGGAGUUAAGAAAUAUAAGUGUGCUAAUACCACAUUUAUUUGACGAAGGCUCCAAAGGAAGCCACGGCUAACUCUGUGCCAGCAGCCGCGGUAAUACAGAGGUGGCAAGCGUUGUUCGGAAUUAUUGGGCGUAAAGAGCACGUAGGUGGGUUUGUAAGUCAGAUGUGAAAGCCUUCUGUUCAACGGAAGAAUUGCAUCUGAAACUGCGAGUCUUGAGUGUAGGAGGGGAGAGUGGAACUUCUGGUGGAGCGGUGAAAUGCGUAGAUAUCAGAAGGAACGCCGGCGGCGAAAGCGACUCUCUGGCCUAUUACUGACACUCAGUGUGCGAAAGCUAGGGGAGCAAACGGGAUUAGAUACCCCGGUAGUCCUAGCCGUAAACGAUGGGCACUAA
rnacentral:rRNA from 1 species